GGUGGCUCAGUGGUAGAGUGCUUGCCUUGCAUGCAUGAGGUCCUGGGUUCGAUUUCUCAACACCA
rnacentral:tRNA from 1 species